CUGUUAUUUGUUAUGUCAAAAUGUUGCCUCCGACGAGCAAGGUCAGCAAAACAGCCCGACAGAAAGCUGCCUCCUGCCAGGCGAAGGGGGGUGCCAACAGCAGGGGAUGGCUAGUUUCUGGCAAGGCACUGGAGCUGAUGAGAUUUCAGGAAAGGAAACCCAGCAGCCAAACUGGAAGAGAAGGAGAUUUUAAGUCUGGGAUCAUUGACUACCUAUGUGACCUUGGACCCAGCACUCUUUCCACUGUGGCACCUAGCUACCUACAUUGAGGAGGAUCCCAAGGUCCAGGAAGGGGAAGGGAUUUGUCCAAGGUCACCUAGCAGGCUCACAGAAUCAUGUGUUGGAAAGGAUCUCGUAGUUGAAUACAAUUCAGCUCUGGACCAUAAUCUGAUCUAAUUCAAACCCAUCUAGUCUUUGUUGAAGACCUCCAGGGCAGAUGAGCUUAGUACCUGCAGAAGCAAUCUAUUCCAUCUUGGCAUCGGUCUAAUUAGAAAACCUGCAUUUAUAUCCUUUGAACUUCCACCCUUUACUCUUAGUCUGCGCUCAGAAUAAGCAGGAUGAGUUUGAUUCCUCCUCCAAAAAACAGACUUUCAAAUACUUGAAACCAGCUAUCAUCACCCUUAAUCUUCUCUUAUCCAGGAGAAAAAAAUCCUUCAGCUGAUUCAAAUACAGAAUGAUCUCAAGGCAUUUCUCCAUGUUGGUUGAUCUCCUUUGG
rnacentral:lncRNA from 1 species